AAGGGAGAAAGGUGCCAAUGCGCGUGUUUGUAUUGAAAGAAGCUGCCCGUCGGAGCACCUGU
rnacentral:sRNA from 1 species